rnacentral:tRNA from 1 species
GUGCGAGUGGCGGAAUCGGUAGAAAAAAAAUUGAGGGGCUAGUGGGAGCAAUCCUAUGGAGGUUCAAGUCCUCUCUCGCACACCA